rnacentral:rRNA from 1 species
CCUACGGGAGGCAGCAGUGAGGAAUCUUCCACAAUGGGCGAAAGCCUGAUGGAGCAACUCCGCGUGCAGGACGAAGGCCUUCGGGUUGUAAAGCUCUUUUAGCGGGGAAGAUAAUGACGGUACCCGCAGAAUAAGCUCCGGCUAACUACGUGCCAGCAGCCGCGGUAAU